UACAGAGGGCCGCUACCACGCGAGUGGAUGCCAAUCCCUAAAACCCCUCUCAGUUCGGACUGGAGUCUGCAACCCGACUCCACGAAGCUGGAUUCGCUAGUAAUCGCGCAUCAGCCACGGCGCGGUGAAUACGUUCCCGGGCCUUGUACACACCGCCCGUCAAGCCAUGGGAGCCGGGGGUACCUGAAGUGCGUAACCGCGAGGAUCGCCCUAGGGUAAAACUGGUGACUGGGGCUAAGUCGUAACAAGGUACC
rnacentral:rRNA from 1 species